GAAGAAGAAUGUGGAUAAGAAAAGAAAGAUAUUGUCUUUGUAACUAUUGUGGGGGAGAUAGACCAUUGAAAUAUAGGUAUAAAGGGUUUACUGCUCCAAUGAACUUCAUGAAACAUUCUCUAAUGAAUAAUAGUAGAAGCUAAGGCUAAGAAAACCAGGUAGACAUCAAAGAAGAAAACCAGGAGAAGGUUAACUACUAUAAAAAAAAGUGUAUUUUUUUAUGUUACUCAUAAAUGAAAACUUAUUGAUUCAACCCAAGUGAUUCUACCCCCAUGACAUAGUAAAGGGAAAAUUUUCAAAAUGUAAAUAAA
rnacentral:lncRNA from 1 species